GGUGCCUGGGCUUCCUGAAGCUUCCUGGAGCCCCGCCAGUAUCCAGUGGGCUCUCCCAGUUUGGAGGCAGUGGUUCCCUCAUGCCUGAGGCAGCCUACUGCCACCACGCUCUGCCAUUCAGGGGCAGAAGGGAAAAGCCAAGGCGAGCCUGACCUCCUUAAGGGCCAGAAUAUGCCAGAGGAGGCAAGGCAGAUGAUCUGCUGCAGCUGGGGGCAGUUUACGAAUGGAAAGCCUUACAUCAUGCAAACGAAGCGGGACAACUACCUCCAUCACC